rnacentral:rRNA from 1 species
UACAGAGGGUGCGAGCGUUAAUCGGAAUUACUGGGCGUAAAGGGCGCGUAGGUGGUUAGGUAAGUGAGAUGUGAAAUCCCCGGGCUUAACCUGGGAAUGGCAUUUGGGGCUGCAAGGCCGGAGUGUGGCAGAGGAGACUGGAAUUCCCGGUGUAGCAGUGAAAUGCGUAGAUAUCGGGAGGAAUACCGAUGGCGAAGGCAGGUCUCUGGGCUGACACUGACGCUCAUGCACGAAAGCGUGGGGAGCAAACAGG